GGGUAUCACAGAAAGUCCUUAUAACCGAAAUUGUUACAGAGACAUAUAUUGCUUAUUGGCCGAUUCAAAUUAAACAAACCAUACAGCCCUUAUCUAAACGGACAACGGAAACCAGUAUGGAGGCGUUGCACUCCUUAACUCAACUUAUCUUCAGCAUUCUGGAUGGUUUUAACAUGGGUUAGUUUUAGCAGGAUAAUGUUGACAGCUCAAAACAUUUUCAAUGUACUACAUACUAAAGUAAUC
ensembl:ncRNA lncRNA:CR43834 long non-coding RNA:CR43834